rnacentral:rRNA from 1 species
GCUUAACACAUGCAAGUCGAGGGGCAGCAUGGUCUUAGCUUGCUAAGGCCGAUGGCGACCGGCGCACGGGUGAGUAACACGUAUCCAACCUGCCGUCUACUCUUGGACAGCCUUCUGAAAGGAAGAUUAAUACAAGAUGGCAUCAUGAGUCCGCAUGUUCACAUGAUUAAAGGUAUUCCGGUAGACGAUGGGGAUGCGUUCCAUUAGAUAGUAGGCGGGGUAACGGCCCACCUAGUCUUCGAUGGAUAGGGGUUCUGAGAGGAAGGUCCCCCACAUUGGAACUGAGACACGGUCCAAACUCCUACGGGAGGCAGCAGUGAGGAAUAUUGGUCAAUGGGCGAGAGCCUGAACCAGCCAAGUAGCGUGAAGGAUGACUGCCCUAUGGGUUGUAAACUUCUUUUAUAAAGGAAUAAAGUCGGGUAUGGAUACCCGUUUGCAUGUACUUUAUGAAUAAGGAUCGGCUAACUCCGUGCCAGCAGCCGCGGUAAUACGGAGGAUCCGAGCGUUAUCCGGAUUUAUUGGGUUUAAAGGGAGCGUAGAUGGAUGUUUAAGUCAGUUGUGAAAGUUUGCGGCUCAACCGUAAAAUUGCAGUUGAUACUGGAUAUCUUGAGUGCAGUUGAGGCAGGCGGAAUUCGUGGUGUAGCGGUGAAAUGCUUAGAUAUCACGAAGAACUCCGAUUGCGAAGGCAGCCUGCUAAGCUGCAACUGACAUUGAGGCUCGAAAGUGUGGGUAUCAAACAGGAUUAGAUACCCUGGUAGUCCACACGGUAAACGAUGAAUACUCGCUGUUUGCGAUAAACUGCAAGCGGCCAAGCGAAAGCGUUAAGUAUUCCACCUGGGGAGUACGCCGGCAACGGUGAAACUCAAAGGAAUUGACGGGGGCCCGCACAAGCGGAGGAACAUGUGGUUUAAUUCGAUGAUACGCGAGGAACCUUACCCGGGCUUAAAUUGCAGAUGAAUUACGGUGAAAGCCGUAAGCCGCAAGGCAUCUGUGAAGGUGCUGCAUGGUUGUCGUCAGCUCGUGCCGUGAGGUGUCGGCUUAAGUGCCAUAACGAGCGCAACCCUUGUUGUCAGUUACUAACAGGUUCCGCUGAGGACUCUGACAAGACUGCCAUCGUAAGAUGUGAGGAAGGUGGGGAUGACGUCAAAUCAGCACGGCCCUUACGUCCGGGGCUACACACGUGUUACAAUGGGGGGUACAGAGGGCCGCUACCACGCGAGUGGAUGCCAAUCCCCAAAACCUCUCUCAGUUCGGACUGGAGUCUGCAACCCGACUCCACGAAGCUGGAUUCGCUAGUAAUCGCGCAUCAGCCACGGCGCGGUGAAUACGUUCCCGGGCCUUGUACACACCGCCCGUCAAGCCAUGGGAGCCGGGGGUACCUGAAGUGCGUAACCGCGAGGAGCGCCCUAGGGUAAAACUGGUGACUGGGGC